GAUGAACGCUGGCGGCGUGCCUAAUACAUGCAAGUCGAGCGAAUGGAUUAAGAGCUUGCUCUUAUGAAGUUAGCGGCGGACGGGUGAGUAACACGUGGGUAACCUGCCCAUAAGACUGGGAUAACUCCGGGAAACCGGGGCUAAUACCGGAUAACAUUUUGAACCGCAUGGUUCAAAAUUGAAAGGCGGCUUCGGCUGUCACUUAUGGAUGGACCCGCGUCGCAUUAGCUAGUUGGUGAGGUAACGGGUCAGCAAGGCAACGAUGCGUAGCCGACCUGAGAGGGUGAUCGGCCACACUGGGACUGAGACACGGCCCAGACUCCUACGGGAGGCAGCAGUAGGGAAUCUUCCGCAAUGGACGAAAGUCUGACGGAGCAACGCCGCGUGAGUGAUGAAGGCUUUCGGGUCGUAAAACUCUGUUGUUAGGGAAGAACAAGUGCUAGUUGAAUAAGCUGGCACCUUGACGGUACCUAACCAGAAAGCCACGGCUAACUACGUGCCAGCCGCCGCCGUAA
rnacentral:rRNA from 1 species